rnacentral:lncRNA from 1 species
UAGAACAGAACCAGAAAAAGAAAAAAAAAUAAGAAAGAAUAAAUUGAAGCAAGGUUAUAAAUAAAGUGUGAAAAAAUAUAAACUAAAAAAUAAAUAUAAGUAUUAGGAGCUUCUUCCACAUUCCAAACACACAAGAGAAGACUCUACACAUGGAUACCACCAAAAAGUCAACAUGGAAAUCAGAUUGAUUAUAUUCUUUGCAGCCAAAGAUGGAGAAGCUCUAUAUAGUCAGUAAAAACAAGACGGGGAGCUGACUGUGGCUCAGAUCAAGAACUCCUUAUUGUCAAAUCAGACUUAAAUUGAAGAAAGUGAGGAAAACCAUUAGACCAUUCAGGUAUGACCUAAAUCAAAUCCUUUCUAAUUAUACAGUGGAAGGGAGAAAUAGAUUUAAGGGACCACAUCUGAUAGACAGAAUGCCUGAUGAACUAUUGAUGGAGGUUCAUGUCAUUGUACAGGAAACAGGGAUCAAGACCAUACCCAAGAAAAAGAAAUGCAAGAAGCAAAAUGGCUGUGUGAGGAGGCCUUACAAAUAGCUAUGAAAAGAAGAGAAGUGAAAAGCAAAAGAGAAAAGGAAAGAUAUGCCCAUUUGAACGCAGAGUUCCAAAGAAUAGCUAGGAGAAAGAAGAAAGCCUUCCUCAGUGAUCAGUGUAAAGAAAGUGAAGAAAACAAUAGAAUGGGAAAGACUAGAGAUCUCUUCAAGAAAAUUAGAGAUACCAAGGGAAAAUUUCAUGCAAAGAUGGGCUUGAUAAGGGACAGAACUGGUAUGGACCUAACAGAAGCAGAAGAUAUUAAGAAGAGGUGGCAAGAAUACACAGAAGAACUGUACAAAAAUGAUCUUCACGACCCAGAUAAUCAUGAUAGUGUGAUCACUCAUCUAGAGCCAGACAUCCUGGAAUGUGAAGUCAAGUGGGCCUUAGGAAGCAUCACUAUGAACAAAGCAGGUGGAAGUGAUGGAAUUUCAGUUGAGCUAUUUCCAAUCCUAAAAGAUGAUGCUGUGAAAGUGAAGCAUUUAAUAUGUCAGCUAAUUUGGAAAACUCAGCAGUGGCCACAGGACUGGGGAAGGUCAGUUUUCAUUCCAAUCUCAAAGAUCAUGGCAUCCGGUCCCAUCACUUCAUGGGAAAUAGAUGGGGAAACAGUGGAAACAGUGUCAGACUUUAUUUUGGGGGGGCUCCAAAAUCACUGCAGAUGGUGAUUGCAGCCAUGAAAUUAAAACACGCUUACUCCUUGGAAGAAAAGUUAUGACCAACCUAGAUAGCAUAUUCAAAAGCAGAGACAUUAUGGCCCUCCUGUGCUCUCAAUUCAUGGGGUCGCAAAGAGUCGGACAUGACUGAGCCACUGAACAGAACUGAACAGAACCAUUUUCUUCAUUACCUCCACGAUAGUUUGGCCCCAGGUAAAUGGCAGAGAGGGAACACAGCUCCACCCAUAGAUAGAAAAUUGGAUUAAAGAUUUACUGA